GCCGAAGUAGCUCAGUCGGUUAGAGCAAUGGAAUCAUAAUCCAUGUGUCGGGGGUUCGAAUCCCUCCUUCGGUA
rnacentral:tRNA from 1 species